rnacentral:rRNA from 2 species
GGGGCGUGCGACGGUACUAUACAUGCAGUCGACGAACUCUGGUAUUGAUUGGUGCUUGCAUCAUGAUUUACAUUUGAGUGAGUGGCGAACUGGUGAGUAACACGUGGGAAACCUGCCCAGAAGCGGGGGAUAACACCUGGAAACAGAUGCUAAUACCGCAUAACAACUUGGACCGCAUGGUCCGAGUUUGAAAGAUGGCUUCGGCUAUCACUUUUGGAUGGUCCCGCGGCGUAUUAGCUAGAUGGUGGGGUAACGGCUCACCAUGGCAAUGAUACGUAGCCGACCUGAGAGGGUAAUCGGCCACAUUGGGACUGAGACACGGCCCAAACUCCUACGGGAGGCAGCAGUAGGGAAUCUUCCACAAUGGACGAAAGUCUGAUGGAGCAACGCCGCGUGAGUGAAGAAGGGUUUCGGCUCGUAAAACUCUGUUGUUAAAGAAGAACAUAUCUGAGAGUAACUGUUCAGGUAUUGACGGUAUUUAACCAGAAAGCCACGGCUAACUACGUGCCAGCAGCCGCGGUAAUACGUAGGUGGCAAGCGUUGUCCGGAUUUAUUGGGCGUAAAGCGAGCGCAGGCGGUUUUUUAAGUCUGAUGUGAAAGCCUUCGGCUCAACCGAAGAAGUGCAUCGGAAACUGGGAAACUUGAGUGCAGAAGAGGACAGUGGAACUCCCAUGUGUAGCGGUGAAAUGCGUAGAUAUAUGGAAGAACACCAGUGGCGAAGGCGGCUGUCUGGUCUGUAACUGACGCUGAGGCUCGAAAGUAUGGGUAGCAAACAGGAUUAGAUACCCUGGUAGUCCAUACCGUAAACGAUGAAUGCUAAGUGUUGGAGGGUUUCCGCCCUUCAGUGCUGCAGCUAACGCAUUAAGCAUUCCGCCUGGGGAGUACGGCCGCAAGGCUGAAACUCAAAGGAAUUGACGGGGGCCCGCACAAGCGGUGGAGCAUGUGGUUUAAUUCGAAGCUACGCGAAGAACCUUACCAGGUCUUGACAUACUAUGCAAAUCUAAGAGAUUAGACGUUCCCUUCGGGGACAUGGAUACAGGUGGUGCAUGGUUGUCGUCAGCUCGUGUCGUGAGAUGUUGGGUUAAGUCCCGCAACGAGCGCAACCCUUAUUAUCAGUUGCCAGCAUUAAGUUGGGCACUCUGGUGAGACUGCCGGUGACAAACCGGAGGAAGGUGGGGAUGACGUCAAAUCAUCAUGCCCCUUAUGACCUGGGCUACACACGUGCUACAAUGGAUGGUACAACGAGUUGCGAACUCGCGAGAGUAAGCUAAUCUCUUAAAGCCAUUCUCAGUUCGGAUUGUAGGCUGCAACUCGCCUACAUGAAGUCGGAAUCGCUAGUAAUCGCGGAUCAGCAUGCCGCGGUGAAUACGUUCCCGGGCCUUGUACACACCGCCCGUCACACCAUGAGAGUUUGUAACACCCAAAGUCGGUGGGGUAACCUUUUAGGAACCAGCCGCCUAAUAGUAGUUCAUGAGCUCGGCCCCCC